rnacentral:misc_RNA from 1 species
GAUGAAGAACGUAGCGAAAUGCGAUAAGUAAUGUGAAUUGCAGAAUUCAGUGAAUCAUCGAAUCUUUGAACGCACCUUGCGCUCCUUGGUAUUCCGAGGAGCAUGCCUGUUUGAGUGUCAUGAAAUUCUCAACCUUUUCAGCUUUCUUUGUUGAUCAGGCUUGGAUGUGGGAGUAUGCGGGCUUCUCAGAAGUCGGCUCUCCUGAAAUGCAUUAGCGGGACCUUUGUUGCCUGGCUUUGGUGUGAUAAUUAUCUACGCCAUUGUAGUCAAGCAGCUUAAAAUGGGGUUUCAGCUUCUAACCGUCUCCCCUGAGACAACUUUUUGACAAUUUGACCUCAAAUCAGGUAGGACUACCCGCUGAACUUAAGCAUAUCAAUAAGCGGAGGA